ACCACAGUUCAAGAAGGACACUGACAAACUGGAACGUGUCCAGAGGAGGGCAACCAAAAUGGCCAAAGGCCUGGAAACGAUGCCUUAUGAGGAACGGCUAAGGGAGCUGGGCAUGUUUAGCCUGGAGAAGAGGAGGUUAAGGGGUGAUAUGAUAGCCAUGUUCAAAUAUAUAAAAGGAUGUCACAUAGAGGAGGGAGAAAGGUUGUUUUCUGCUGCUCCAGAGAAGCGGACACGGAGCAAUGGAUCCAAACUACAAGAAAGAAGAUUCCGCCUAAACAUUAGGAAGAACUUCC